GGAAAGCUUUUUAAGAUUGGCUGAUACAGAUUUUCAAACCAUGGCACUGGGGAAAGGCACAAGGCAGACAGCAGCCAGGCAGGAGCACAGACAGAGAAGUGUAAAAUAUCAAUGUCCAGGAGAAGACAGUCCCAUUUGGCCAAGUGUGGUAAAAAGAAUGUGUAGGAGAAAGAUGGGAGAUAGUGAAGUAUUUUGGGACUACUUCUUAGAUGAGCUGGGCUAGAAAUACAGACACGUGGAUCUCAAAACGGAGCGUGCAGAAGAACCUCCCUCAAGAGCUUUGUAAAGGAGGCACAUUUCUUGGCUCCUUGUGCAGAAAUUCUGGGGAGUGGUCCAGAACUUUACUUUUUUAAUGAGGACUUGACAGUGAUUCCAAAACAGGUGACCUCUGACACAUUUUGGGGAACCAAGCUCCAGAGUCUCAUGACUAGCUGCCGCCCCUUGGAUGCUGGGAGCACUUGAACCCGCGGCACACAGCUGUACUGGAAUUGAGCUCUGGCUGGGUCUCAUUCUGGCUGUCAUGCAGUGUUACCGUCAGCACUACUUUUAAGAUGUCUUCAGCCCACGGACAAACUAAAAAUGUGUGCUGUCAGCAGAGACUACAGGACGAGGGGUAUGAAGGACUGAAUAUAGCUUUGGCUAUGUCCCCAGUGAUGGAACGGAAGAGGUCAUUUUCCUCCUUUCUGUGAUUCUGUAUUCUCAUGUCUACAAAGAGGACUUGGUUUCCAGCACCAGCACUGUGUGGCACUAGGACGAUGCGAUACGUACUUAAGUUAAUUUGUCUUUGGGGAGUAAAACGAAAUAAAAUUGAACCUAAGAGAUGCAAAACAAUAUUAAAUCCUGCAAGAUCUUAAUCUUGAAGAACUUUCAGAUCUGUUCUGUGGACUCCAGGGCUGCAAUGAGUUAGAGCCGGCAGGUCAUGGGAAGAUACUGACAGGGCCAGAAACUUCUGCAGUGAACUUGAGCCUCGGGGUUCUGCAGAGCUAGGUGUAACUCCCGAAACCUUGCACCCAAAGCUUCCUUUAUGUUAUGUUUGCAAAAAUGCGCCAAUUUUUCCACUGCACCAAUUUUCCACUAACAAGUGUUAAACAGAUUAAAAUCAUGCAGCAAGACAACAAGGAAAUGUAUUUUUAAGUUUAAAACCAGUUUAUAUUCAUUCAUCAAAUUGCUGUAUCAGAAGACAGCUUAAUGUGUAGAUUUAAGUAGCUUGAGAAAUAACGAAGAUAGACUAUGUUUUAGCCACCCAGCUAUGUUAUUAAAAUAUAGUUGUUGUGUUCUUAAAAAACAAAACAAAACAAACUCAAUUAUUAGCUCAGUCAGCCUACUGUUCAUCUUCCUUUAAGGGAAAUUCAUUUCCCUGUAUUAUAAAGGAUCUAUCUGUUCGCAUCAUUGAAAACCUGCUGGGUACUGUAGGUUGGAAAUCUUCUGGGUGGAGAAGAGGUGAUUCAAAGGUUCCAGGAAUUUGAAAGAGCACCGGGGAGUCUAGAAGCCCAGCAGUGUUUCUUUACAAAUACUGGCAAAUUCAAAUGCAGGGUGAGACCUAAUAACAAGAGGUAUGACAAUGCCACUUGGGAAAACUUCUGCUGUGUAGGGGUGUGUGUGUGAGCUUGUACAGUACAUGCCUGAAAGGCACGAGGGGAUGAGCUUCCCAGCAGACCGCUAAUUGAUGAUGAACAGAUCUUCCUACCAUGUCUUUCUGACCUUACAGAAAUAGGGGACAAUUGGAAAAAAUUAAGAUAUGCCAAUCUACACACACACACACACACACACACACACACACACACACACGGGCACAUGCACACUUUGAAAUCUGGGGAGAAACAAAGAUCUGCUGGCUACAUUCUAUCUAGAGCGACUGGCAUUCUGCCAAAGAAGACAUCUUUGCAAAGCACCCGAGAGCAGCAGAGCAGAACGUGAACUUACAAUGUAG